rnacentral:rRNA from 1 species
AUCGAACGCUGGCGGCAGGCCUAACACAUGCAAGUCGAGCGGAGCGGCGGACGGGUGAGUAAUGCCUAGGAAUCUGCCUGGUAGUGGGGGAUAACGUCCGGAAACGGGCGAUAAUACCGCAUACUCUCAGCUGAGCCUAGGUCGGAUUAGCUAGGUGGUGGGGUAAAGGGCUACCAAGGCGACCAUCCGUAACUGGUCUGAGAGGAUGAUCAGUCACACUGGAGAUGAGACACGGUCCAGACUCCUACGAGAGGCAGCAGUGGGGAAUAGUGGACAAUGGGCGAAAGCCUGAUCCAGCCGUGCCGCGUGUGUGAAGAAGGUCUUCGGAUUGUAAAGCACGUUAAGUUGUGAGGCGUUACCAACAGAAUAAGCACCGGCUAACUUCGUGCCAGCAGCCGCGGUAAUAC